rnacentral:rRNA from 1 species
UCACUUUCAACAACGGAUCUCUUGGCUCUCGCAUCGAUGAAGAACGUAGCGAAGUGCGAUAAGUAAUGUGAAUCGCAAAUUCUGUGAAUCAUCGAAUCUUUGAACGCAAAUUGCACUCUCUUCGGAGAGUAUGCCUGUUUGAGGGUCAGU